rnacentral:lncRNA from 1 species
GCAAUACAAAUUUCAAGGCUGUGGAACCAGGAGAAGGUCUGAGGAACGGAGCUCCCGGAAGUAAAGGCAUUGCCUCACAUUUGAGUGCAUGAGGAGAAGUAAGGAAGAUUCUAUCACACUCUUGCUGUCAAUGGUUACAAGCCAUAGCUCAGAGUGAGUAUAUGUCCCAGGGGCCACCUCCUGUCCUUCAGGCUGCAUGGUUCCAGCCAAGACAGGAAAGGGUAGUUAGCCUUCACAAACCCAAGUGGAAACUAUGUAUAAGUAUCUAUGUCAGUCACUUCUCUUGUUUCUUCCAUGAGACACCUGGCAACAGUACUUAAGGAAGGAAAGGUUUGCACUGGCCCGCAGUCUGAAGGAGGACAGAGGACACAAGGCAAUGAGAGCAGCUCUAGGUGUAGCCGUGGGAGCCCGAUAUAGCUGGACGCGCUGCAUCUGAAGCAUGACUUCAGGAUUUGUGGUCAGAAGCACGAGGUGGAGAAGUCCUGAUACAAUCUUUGUACUGUACGGUUGCCGUCUGGACUUCAUUGACUAUCCCGGAGCGAUCCAGCACAAGUGACAAGUGAAGACCUUGGCUGUGUUUCAGAAGCACAAUUACAACUCUUGGGGUAAAGAGCCUCAGCGACAAGGCCCAGGAAAGCAGGUGUAUUGAGAAUUAGAGGUAGUCACAGGGGAUGAAACAUAAAAUCAACGUGCCAGAGGUUGACCUGGGCUCUUCCACCCUCACUGUGAUCUUCAGUUUCGCUGCGUGCACUCAAGGCACAAACCUGGGAUUUGAGAUUUCAAGCUGUGUCUGUAAACUUAUUUUCAGAGACUCGGAGCGGGCCCCAGAGGAGAGGUAGGGAGUGGUCCUGGCAGCUGUUGGAUGAAGCAGGUAACUGUUCCACAGCAGAGUGGGAGAUUACUGGGGCUUGUAAAAGUUGUUUGCACUUUAGUUUAGGCUUAAGCCCAGGAUUUAGGAUCUCUGAAUUCUGAGCCUAAAAAUGAUCGCUUGUGUAGUGGUAGUGAGUGAGUGGCCCCUGCAGUAUUUGACUAGGUAUCUGAGAGAGGUUCUUCUUUACUUGGAAAUUUAGGUACAUGUUUUCUCAUGCUUUCUAUAGACAUAUAAUUUUAUAUAUUAUCUUUGAAUCAGGGUAUGAGUAAACUAAACAUCAUUUUCA